UUGUUUUUGUUUUUAAAGUAGAAUUUGAGGUAUUAAGCUCUAAAAUGAUAAAAUUAUACAAUAAUAAAUGUCUUGCUCUUCCCCCAGCUGCUCUUUACGUUUAAAAUAAAACUUAAGUGUAAAAUUAGGAGCCCUGUAGCAGCUGCAGUACUUCUCCAUGGUGAUUUGUCCGAGCCCUCAAGCCUGAGGAUGCUGAGGAUUCCACAUCAUCAGAUGAUGCUGGUUUCAUUCCCUGCUUUCUGGGAUACCUGCAAAGAGUGGACCUCUAAGAUCACCUGAGCUCACGAGAAUGCCACCUCUUCCCAGAAUAUUGUAACAUUGGCCAGUUCUUUGGGAGCAUAAGAAUCUAUCUCCCAGCAAACAAGGAGAUAUUUGCCGCUUGUCAGAUCUGUCAGCUCAGCUGCUCAAAUGAGCCCUGACCUGCUCCAGCUAAAAGUGGAUCUGAGGGAGCUUUAGCGAUGCACCAGCUUUCCAAAGUAGUGAUCAGUUAGUGUUUAUUGGAUUAAUAAUUAAUAUGACCAUGCUCUUGCAACUAUGUAUUUUAUUGCUAAUUCCAUUUUGACAGUAAUUAAAGGUGAUUUAUAUUUUGUCUUGGCAAACAAACAAGACUGUUUCCCAGUGUCAUUUUGCCAAUGUCUGAAAUUUCCUUUGUAGACUGUUC